GACGAACGCUGGCGGCGUGCCUAAUACAUGCAAGUCGAGCGGACCCUUCGGGGUCAGCGGCGGACGGGUGAGUAACACGUGGGUAAUCUGCCCAACUGACUGGAAUAACGCCUGGAAACGGGUGCUAAUGCCGGAUAGGCAACUGGUAGGCAUCUACCGGUUGGGAAAGGUGCAACUGCACCGCAGAUGGAGGAGCCCGCGGCGCAUUAGCUAGUUGGUGGGGUAACGGCCUACCAAGGCGACGAUGCGUAGCCGACCUGAGAGGGUGGACGGCCACACUGGGACUGAGACACGGCCCAGACUCCUACGGGAGGCAGCAGUAGGGAAUCUUCCGCAAUGGGCGCAAGCCUGACGGAGCAACGCCGCGUGAGCGAAGAAGGCCUUCGGGUUGUAAAGCUCAGUCACUCGGGAAGAGNGGACAGGGGAGUGGAAAGCCCUGUCGAGACGGUACCGAGAGAGGAAGCCCCGGCUAACUACGUG
rnacentral:rRNA from 1 species